CUGUGUCGAUGCCGGCCUUCCAUCUAUAGUAGCGCGUGAUGAAUCUGAAUCUCACACAGGCUUCCCGUCGUGGACACCUGUCUUGUUACGCGUGUAGCCGUGCAGCGGGAGUGCAGAGUCCACGACAGUCUCCUCAAUCUCAUUGUCUUCUUUGCUCUUCACCCUCUUCCUUGGCCUUCCUGGCUCCGAGCCCUAAACACCAAAGAUCUGAUUCCCCCCUAUCCUCUAUCUUCGUGCGCUGUCAGACUCCAGACUCGUCUCCCUGUCCUUCUGGGCACAAUCUCUUCACCGUCUCACGUGGUUUGAACUUGGAUAAGGAAGUCUUGUAUAUAAUGAGUACUCGAGCGCUCAGGGGUGCUGCUGUCAGAAGUUACCGGCGGAGGAAGACAGCUCUGGACUUGGAUCUUAACCGGGAUCCACCUGUUGAAAGUCGGGAGCUGGAGGGACCUUCAGCUCAGCUGGAGCCUCAAGCUGGCCUUCAACUGCAGGUUGCACAAGCACAACCUGCAAUGAUUGAUGUUGAGGCCAUUGAUGAUGAUGUUGUUGAAUCUACUCCCCGGGCUUUUGCUGAGGCUAAAAACAAUUCAAGGAGAAAUCGCAGCAGGGCUAUAGUUGAUGUGGAUUUAGAAGAUCGGACUAGGGUAACUAAUAAUAAUCGCAACAAACGCAGAAGAGGUUCUCCAAGCCAAACAAUUAUUAACUGUGAUCUUUAUAUAAACUUGGAAGGCAGUAGCGGUUCUAUGAAAGAAAAUGUUAGGAAGUCUCCUGAACCUCCGAAGGAGCCUGUUUUCAACUGCCCAAUCUGUAUGGGUCCUUUGGCGGAAGAAAUGUCGACAAGGUGUGGUCAUAUUUUUUGCAAGAGUUGCAUUAAGGCUGCGAUAAAUGCACAGGGUAAAUGCCCUACCUGUAGGAAAAAGGUUACCGCGAAAGAGCUCAUAAGGGUUUUUCUGCCAUCAACUACUUGAAGUCAAUUCAUUCCGGUGAUGGCUGAUGAUUGCUGUUUUGUCGUACAACAGGGUGUUGAAGAUAAUACCUAUUUCGUGCUAUGAAGAUCGCCGUAGCUUAGUGGUCACAUUCGAUGCGAGAUGUCAUUUCCAGCUCGGUUUACCCCCCUGGGGCUUUAAUAUGCUGACCUGGUGGUGUACAUGCGUGUAUGUCAAAUAUUAAAAGGUAAAGAAGCCAUAUGAGAUUUUGUGUGUUGCACAUUAGCUGUUCGACCACUUGUGAUAACUGGAAGAUCCACGGGCUCCAAGACCACGAGCAGAGAUAAUAACUCCGGUAAUUCUCAGGCGAAAGAUUCUCUUGGAACUCUCCGACACUGAGGAAAUAGAAAUCGUAAAAGCGAGACAAGUAGGCGUAAAUCCGGAGACUGAACAUCCGGUGGACGAAAGAGGUUUAUAGAGACAAAUGAUAAUACUCAAGUUUUGUGUAGAAUGUUGAACUAUAAGCAUGAUAGCAUCUUUAUAUCACGUGCAUGGGAGGUUGGACAAA